rnacentral:rRNA from 1 species
AGCACUCCUACGGGAGGCAGCAGUGGGGGAAUAUUGCACAAUGGGCGCAAGCCUGAUGCAGCCAUGCCGCGUGUAUGAAGAAGGCCUUCGGGUUGUAAAGUACUUUCAGCAGUGAGGAAGGUGGGUAUGUUAAUAGCAUACUCAUUUGACGUUAGCUGCAGAAGAAGCACCGGCUAACUCCGUGCCAGCAGCCGCGGUAAUACGGAGGGUGCGAGCGUUAAUCGGAAUUACUGGGCGUAAAGCGCAUGCAGGUGGUUUGUUAAGUCAGAUGUGAAAGCCCGGGGCUCAACCUCGGAAUUGCAUUUGAAACUGGCAAACUAGAGUACUGUAGAGGGGGUAGAAUUUCAGGUGUAGCGGUGAAAUGCGUAGAGAUCUGAAGGAAUACCGGUGGCGAAGGCGGCCCCCUGGACAGAUACUGACACUCAGAUGCGAAAGCGUGGGGAGCAAACAGGAUUAGAUACCCGGGUAG